rnacentral:misc_RNA from 1 species
AAAAGGCUCUCUUUUCUAGUUAUGGCAAAUAUUUCCUUCUUUCAGAACCACAUCCGUCGCAACGCCGCCGCCUCCGAUUCUCACCAUCGUAAUCACCACUACAGCCGUCCACACAACCCCCGUAACCUAACUGUUGAUCCUUACUUCCCUCUCUUCUUCUCCUCUGAUCCUCGCUCCCAGCACACCACUCUCCGCGACCCCUACGCACUUACCGAGCACACCAAUUUCAAUAUUCAGACGCUCGACGACGACGACGCCGUCUCGGAUACCGAAUCAGUUGUACUCGGAGGCUUGAAUCCCCUGGACCGUGAGAACCAGGUUAGUUUCGUCAUGGAUCUGUUUCAACAGCAAGUCCAGCAAUCUCAGGUAAUGGGUCGUAGUUCCCAUUUGUUAUCCGAUUCGCUUAACGAAUCGGACUUUGGUGUCAUAGAGCAGAAUUGUGAAAUGGGUAUCGAUAAUUUGGAACUUGAUAUAGGGUUAGGGUUAGGUUUAGAUGGUCACGAGAAUGAUGAAUUUCAAAAUAUAGGCCAUAAUCAUAUUCAUAAUAAUAAUGAUUAUAGCACAAAUAUCGUUAUGGAUGAUGAUGAUUUCUUUGUGGAAAGAAGGAUUUCCGGAAUCCAAUCUUGUGAGGCCGAGUCUACCGUUAGCGUUUGCACUAGUGCCAUGAGGGUUGUUGGGUUUGGGUCGGAUUCUGAUUCAGAGGAUAAUGAGAACUCGGUAGCUAUAGAUUUGUAUUCAGGGGAUGAGUAUGGAUUGGAUCGAGCGAAUAUUGAAAAUGAUAAUUAUGAUAAUGUUGAUGAAGAUGAUGAGGAAGAUGCAACCGUUACUAUUCCUCUUUGUUGGGAUUCGCUUCAAUUGGAGGACCAUAGAGAAAACAAUGAGGAUUUUGAGUGGGAGGAAGUGGAUGGCCGUGUUGAUGAGAGAGACGUUCUAAGCAUGUUUGUUGAUGAUGAGGAGGCCUCUGUUUCUCUCUCCAUAUCACCUAUUAUUGCUCAUGAGGGUAUGGUGAGUGUAGAGAGGGUAGGAGAAUUGGGAAGUUUGGAAUGGGAAGUUCUGCUGAAUGCAAACAACUUGGACUCAAAUCUGGACCGUGACCAGGACAAUAAUGCUGAGCCUUAUUUUGGGGAUCAUGAUGAUUAUAUUUACACUGCAGAGUAUGAGAUGUUGUUUGGGCAUUUUGCAGAGAAUGAAAAUGUAUUGAUGGGUCGACCUCCAGCAGCAAAAUCUGUUGUUGAGAAGCUUCCAUCUGUGGUUUUGACAAAAGAGGAUGUUGAUGAUAAUAAUGCACUUUGUGCUGUUUGUAAAGAUGAGAUUAAUGUUGGAGAGAGGGCAAAGCAGUUGCCUUGCACACAUAGGUAUCAUGGGGAGUGCAUUGUGCCCUGGCUAGGGAUUAGGAAUACUUGCCCAGUAUGUCGAUAUGAGUUGCCUACAGAUGAUGCAGAUUAUGAGCGGAAGAAAGUAGCAGCAUCACAAGGAGCUGUUACUACUGGCCGUCGCCUUUGAUUGGUAAUACAUUUGUUCAUGUAUGCUUUUUGAUCCUUUUUUUAGUAAUAGGUUUGUUAAGAAUGUAGAUAUUUCUGUUGGAGUGCAUUGGUUUCCCUUUGUUAGGAUAACGAUAUUCAUGACAAUUUACUAUGUAUUUGGGUGAGAGUAUAAGAAUAUUGUUUUGUCAACAUUGUACUCUUGGGAAAUUUUUAUUUUAAUGACGUUUAAUGAUUUUUGCAUAGGUUAUGCAUUUUUAUAUCUUGUUAUAAUUUUAAUUGUGAUUGGAGAUAGAAUGUUGUUCACAAUAGAUGAAUUCUUAAACUGAUUUAUUGUGAGUAGAGGUAUAAUCUGGAACUAUAGAUUAAAUAUAGGCCUUCCAAUACUUGUAAAUUGGUUAUUGACUGCAAGUAACCUGAAGGCAGAAUUUUAUUUAUAAAAGAUUUGUGUCAUUGUAGCUUGGAUUUGCAAACUUGUAUUAGGUUGGCAUCCCACAAAGGGUGUUAAAUUUCGAAUACUUUGGUGCAAAGAAUAAUUUGGCAAAGCUGUGGGGCUAGAAAAUGGUUGUAGCGACUGGGUGGUUUUGUAGAAAGUUCUGAAACUGUAAUUUCAUCUGAAAUUUUGCUUGCGUUCAUUAACAAAAUUUUCCCCCUUUUCUAUAACUGCUUUUGAGAGGAAAAAGGAAAGAUAAAGAGCAGUGCAUCUUGUUCAAGUCGUUAUAGUUUCCAAACUAUUAAAUUCUUUCAUCAGUGUCGUUUUACUUGAAAGGUGGGCAUGGUACAGAUGGUUAAGUGAAUUAUUAGGAGAAUACUUUUAAUGAUACAGUUGGCAUGUCAAGUGGCAUUGUCAUAGAGAAAAGGCAUACACAUUUACUUAUCCAAGUAGGAUACUGAUUGAUUUAGAGUUCUUAUAGAUUGGGUAACUAGUUUUGACAAAACUAAACUUAUGUGGGUAAUUGUGCUCAGAAUAUUUCAUUUCAUUUCUCUUCAGGUCUACCUACUGUCACCUGGAAUUUGGAUUAUGUUGAAUUGGUCGUGGAAGCCUUGUAAUCUUUUUUAUCAUUUACCAGAAAAAAAGGGAAAAUCUAUCUGCAAGUAAAUAAAAAGUAGUUAAAUUUUGAAAUGAUAAUGAAGUUGCUUAGAAGCAUUUGCUAACUAGAAAAGUAAUGCAGAAAAGGCAGGCUAAUUGCCACCAUCUUAGUCAUCAUGUGAAAUUAACAAUUAAUGGUAGGCGCAACCGGCAAAGAAAAACUGGUCCAAAGUUGUAGAAAAUUGUCCUUUAGGUGGUUCAAGCGAGCUCACUGUUGCUAGGAAAGGGCUUAUGUCCUUUGAGAAAAUAUUAUUUGAAGUAGGAAUAUAAUGGGUGUGAAAAUGUGGGUAAGCAAUUGAGGGAAGGGGGGAAUUUGUGGAAGUGCAACAAUUUCUUCAUCAUUAAGAUGAUUUUUGUUUGGUAGUGCAGCUUCAAAUUCGCUUUCUAUCGGCGUCAAAAAAGGAGCAUAAAAAAGCAUUAUUUCUCUUUAAGAAAAGGGAAAGCAAGUUAAGUCUCUUGCACAAGAAAGACUCUGAUGCCAUUUGCUUCUGCCAAUUAUGGCUUCAUUGAUGCCCUUCCAAAUCAAGAAAAUGAGGAUGCUGCAAAACAAAAGCCAACUUCAAACCCAAACUUUUCUUGGCCAUGGCUUGAUAACAGUUGAUGUUGGACAUUUGAUCAAAUGUUUCUGGUUGUGGAGUAAAAUAGGUGUGUUUUUAUAUAUUUGUAAAUUUAAUUGUAAGAUUUUUAUACAAUUUUUG